rnacentral:rRNA from 1 species
GACAAACGCUGGCGGCAUGCCUAACACAUGCAAGUCGAACGGACAGAACAGGGAAGCUUUUCGGAGUGGAACUGGAAAGUUAGUGGCGGAUGGGUGAGUAACGCGUGGACAACCUACCUUGUAAAGGGGAAUAACCUCGAGAAAUCGAAGCUAAUACCCCAUAAUAACCUUGCUUCGCAUGAAGUAAGGAGGAAAGGCGGCCUUAGCGCUGUCGAUACAAGAUGGGUCCGCGUCUGAUUAGCUAGUUGGUGAGGUAAAGGCUCACCAAGGCGACGAUCAGUAGCCGGCCUGAGAGGGUGAACGGCCACAUUGGGACUGAGACACGGCCCAGACUCCUACGGGAGGCAGCAGUGGGGAAUCUUCCGCAAUGGGCGAAAGCCUGACGGAGCAAUGCCGCGUGAGUGAAGAAGGCCUUCGGGUUGUAAAACUCUGUCCUUAUCGAAGAGAGGGUGUUGUAGUAAUUGACAAUACUAGGACGGUAGAUGAGGAGGAAGCCCCGGCUAACUAUGUG